rnacentral:lncRNA from 1 species
ACACAAUUGUUGAAAACUUCACCCUUUAUUUAUGUUUAUCUACAUCUAUCAAAUAUCUGGUGUCCUUGUAAGCACGAAUCUGUCUUUGCUCUGUCCAGCACUGCCUAGCCUGCCUGUCUCAUCUAAGGAUGAUAAAAGGAACUCAUGCCCUUGUGCAAUUUCUUCCUGUAGAGUGUGGACUAGACAUACUGACUUGCCUCUCAUGAAAAAUAAAAAAAACAUGGCAGAAGGGAUGGGAUGUCACUUCAAAAUCAAGCUAUAAAAGACUGUGACAUCUGUCUUGCUGGCACUCCUUCUUUCUCUCUCUUGCUGGCUCUUCUGGCUUCGUAACACUGAGGAAGCAAGUUCCAGUGUUGUGAGUUGUCCUAUGGAGAUACCCAUGAGGCAAGAAUGUGAGAGUAGCCUCCAGCCAAAAGCUACUAAAGGACACC